rnacentral:rRNA from 1 species
CUCUAUGGUUAAUACCCAUGGACGAUGACAUUAGCUGCAGAAUAAGCACCGGCUAACUCUGUGCCAGCAGCCGCGGUAAUACAGAGGGUGCAAGCGUUAAUCGGAAUUACUGGGCGUAAAGCGAGCGUAGGUGGCUUGAUAAGUCAGAUGUGAAAUCCCCGGGCUUAACCUGGGAACUGCAUCUGAAACUGUUAGGCUAGAGUAGGUGAGAGGGAAGUAGAAUUUCAGGUGUAACGGUGAAAUGCGUAGAGAUCUGAAGGAAUACCGAUGGCGAAGGCAGCUUCCUGGCAUCAUACUGACACUGAGGCUCGAAAGCGUGGGUAGCAAGCAGGAUUAGAUACCCUGGUAGUCCACGCCGUAAACGAUGUC